AGGGGUAUAGCUCAGUUGGUAGAGCGGCGGUCUCCAAAACCGUAGGUCGCGGGUUCAAGUCCUGCUGCCCCUGCCA
rnacentral:tRNA from 1 species